GAUAUACUCCUCCGUCCGAAAAUACUUGUCACCAAAAUGGAUAAAAGGGGAUGUAUCUAGACCUACGUCUAGAUACAUCCCCUUUUAUCCACGUCUAGGUACAUCCCCUUUUAUCCAUUUUGAUGACAAGUAUUUCCGGACGGAGAGAGUAUUUU
rfam:Triticum aestivum genome assembly, contig: Triticum_aestivum_CS42_TGACv1_scaffold_132350_2BL